UCUCUCUGUAGACGCCGAGCUCCGAGGUCGCCAACUCGCCAUUAUUACGCCUCCGAGCUCCCCAAGCACCAGCUUUUCUUCGAUCUCCGCGUCGAAACCCUUGCGUUUGUUGGAUCAAAACCGUAAGGUCUCUCGUCCACAAGGAUUCUCAUCUUUUUGAACCUGUUUUGUUGAAAUCUAGGGUUUCGUUUCGUACCAAGUCGUCGAAUCCGUGGGUUUCUUGGGGUUUUUCUUGCAUGAUAUCUAAUCCAGCCUUUAGGAAGAGGGGAAGCCAUGGAUAAUUCUAUGAUGAGUAGUGGCCUUCUCCCUGGAUCAUCCGCCGGAAUUCUGGACCACGACCCCUCCGUCCACCACCGCCGCCAACAACACCACCCCCUUCCCCACCUUCAACCAAUGCCCGCCGCCGGCAUCGAUCCCGGCCAUGCGAUGCCCCUCUUCGACCCUGCCCCCUCCCUCAACCCCCCGCCUCGCGGGAAGGGCAUCUACGCCUCCGCCACCACCAGCGAGAAUGACGACCAACUUCCCGCCGCCGCCGUCGAGGGGGAUGGCCACGGGCAGCAGUCACCGGUCCCUGGCGGAGCCGGGCUGGGCAAAAAGGGCUCGCCUUGGCAGCGUAUGAAGUGGACCGACGAGGUGGUCCGGCUGUUGAUCCGGAUCGUCGCCCUCGUCGGGGAUGACGGCGCUUAUGAGGCUGUAGACGGGACUCCAGGUGCUGUGAAGAGGAAGCACGGGGCCGCAUUCCAGAAGAAAGGAAAAUGGAAGAUGGUAUCGCUCCUGAUGCAAGAGAAUGGCGCCUAUGUUUCGCCGCAGCAGUGCGAGGACAAGUUCAACGACAUGAACAAAAGAUAUAAGAGGUUGAACGAUCUUCUUGGUCCUGGAGUCUCCUGCGAUGUCGUCCAUGAUCCUGCAAGCUUGGAGUCGAUGCCCAUUUCCCAAAAAGCAAAGAAUGAUGUGAGAAAGAUCCUGAGCUCAAAACAUCUUUUUUACAAGGAGAUGUGUGCGUACCACAGUGGCCAGAAAAUACCCAAUUGUCCUGAUAUCAAUUUGCAAAGCUGUUUGCUAUCACAGGUCGCACCAUCAAAAGAUGGCAAUCAGUGUUUUGAUGGGGAGGAAGAGGAGGAGGAAGAGGAGGAGGAGGAGGAGGACAAUGUUGGGAAUGAAGAAGAGGGGAGCGAAGAGGUCGGAAGGGGGCGCUUUGAGGAUUUCCUUGCUGAGAUAGAUGCGGUCCUUCAGGACCCGACAAGGCCACCAUUGGAGCGGCGAAAGUGGUUAAAGAUGCGGGCAUUGCAGCUCGAGGAGGAGAGAUUGGACAUCGAGACCGAAGCUCUGGCAAUAGAGAGGCAGAGGUUCAAGUGGCAGAGGUUCAGCAGCAAGAAGGAUAGGGAGAUUGAGAGAUCAAGGUUGGACAAUGAAAGACUCAUGCUUGAGAAUGAACAGAUGAUGAUUCUGGUGAGGAAGGAGGAGUUGGAGCUGGAUUUCAGGAGGUCAGGAGACCCAUUAAUGGAGUCUACUGGUUUUCGGAUGGAGGAAGAGCGAGGACGAGAGCAGAUGGAGUCUGGAAGGGUCCACUAAGAUUUUGUCUGUGUGACUAACCAUUGGUGUUUCUCAAGCAUUUGUUUUCACCUUUGUUGUUCAGGUUUCUUCUGUACAGCUGGGGAGUAAUGGUGGCAUACACUUAUUGUUAGAAGAAUCCUACUCUACACCAAUUUGUAAAGUUGCAAGUGAAGAAAUUGUUCAGAACCAAGUGUUUAAUGUGUGUCCAGUUUGCUGAUCCAUUUUCGACAAGGAAUUUUCGAGCUGGAUAUGAGUCUAAAUUACACAGGCUGAGAUAUUGCUUUGGCUCACAUUAUGCAGAAUGACUGUAUUGUUUUUAUGUAGCCUUGGAACAAUUAUUUUUUCAUAUACUUUUCAAUAUUUAAAGAAUGUUUGAAAAUGCUAACUUGCUAUUAUAUGGAUGAGGGAAUAUAUCUUUAUCUACCUGACU